rnacentral:pre_miRNA from 1 species
UCUUGUCAAGUGUAUCUAGUGUGAGUCACGUGCUAGAGACACGUGACUGGUGC